rnacentral:misc_RNA from 1 species
CAAUUUCCCCCAAAUUCUCUGUUUCUGUGUCUAAAGUAUUUUUUGAAGUCUCCAACACCAAAUUUUCAUCCAAAUUUUUUGAUUUUUUUGACGAAGACUUCAAUUUCUCAACAGAUUUAUCUACUCUCGCUAAGGUUUUCUCUGUUUCAGAGCCAAGACAAAGUUCUGUAGUCAACAAACCCACAUUUUUAUCCGCAGUUUUUGGUGUUAUGAAUAGAGACUCGCGUAAAUCAUCACUUGAAGCUAAUUCUCUAUCCAUAAUCCAAGUGUUCAAGGAUUCGCAGCCAAUUACAUCAUCCUCAUGAGCUCGAUCAACAACAGGAGAUGAAAGCGAACCUGAAUCGAUUGCAAUCCUAUCCGUCAAUUCC